rnacentral:rRNA from 1 species
AUGGCAUCUUCCGGUGUCUUGUUUCCAGGUUUUGUUUGGUUUCUGUGCCUCUUUGGCUUUUUUUGCUGCCUGCCAUUAGCCAUCUGCGAUGAAACCGAAAAUGAUAGACAAUCCCUUCUUUGCUUCAAGUCCUGGCUCUCGGGUCCAGCGGGAGUUUUAGCUUCAUGGAGCAACACGUCCCUCGACGUUUGCGAGUGGCAUGGGAUCACCUGCAGCACGGUGUCCCCUCGGCGUGUGAUUGCGCUGGACCUUGACUCAGAAGGCAUCUCAGGCUCCAUAUCACCUUGCAUUGCCAACCUGACCUCUCUUACAAGGCUGCAACUGUCAAAUAAUAGCUUCAGUGGCGGCAUACCAUCAGAGCUUGGCCUCCUGAGCCGGCUCCGCGACCUCAACCUCAGCAUGAACACUUUGGAAGGUAACAUCCCGCCUGAACUCUCUGCAUGUUCGCAACUCCAAAUCCUUGGUUUGUGGAACAAUUCCCUCCACGGAGACAUCCCACCUAGCCUUAGCCAAUGCAAACAUCUUCAAGAGAUUAACCUUCGCAACAAUAACCUCCAAGGAAGCAUCCCUUCUGCUUUUGGGAAUCUCCCUGAGCUGCGCAUACUAGUUCUCGCUAGCACUGGGCUUACCGGCAACAUACCUCCAUCUUUAGGCAGCAGCCCUCAUCUCACAUAUGUCGAUCUUGGGAACAAUGCUCUCUUAGGGGUCAUCCCAGAGUUCCUAGCAAACAGUUCAUCUCUUCAAGUACUUCGACUCAUGAAAAAUAAUUUUACUGGAAAACUCCCAAGUGCUCUCUUCACCACUUCUUCACUUAUUGCUAUUUGCCUCCAACAGAACAGUUUUGUUGGUUCAAUACCUUCUGUUACUGCCACAUCUCCCCCAAUUAAAUAUCUCUACUUAAGGAAGAACCAUCUUUCAGGAAUAAUACCUUCCUCACUAGGCAACCUGUCCUCCCUGGUUCAUCUUCGCCUUGCAGAAAAUCAGUUAGUUGGGAGCAUCCCAGAGAGCUUAGGUUAUAUUCCUACACUAGAGACAUUGACCUUGGACAUAAACAACUUAUCUGGGCCAGUCCCAUUGUCUUUACUCAACAUGUCAUCCCUCACAGUUCUUGCCAUCGCAAAAAACUCUCUUGUCGGAAAAUUACCCUUCGACAUCGGCCACACGCUUCCAAAUAUUCAGAGAUUAAUACUAUCAGAGAACAGUUUUGAUGGGCCAAUCCCAGCCUCUCUUCUCAAAGCUUACAGCCUACGCAUGCUUCACCUGGAUAAUAAUAGGUUUACUGGAUUCAUACCAUUCUUCGGUUCACUGCAAAAUUUAGAGAAACUUGAUCUGGGGCACAACAAGCUAGAAGCAGGUGAUUGGGGCUUUGUUUCUUCACUAUCAAAUUGCUCCAGGUUGAGUAUGCUGGGGCUGGAUGGAAACAACCUCCAAGGGAAAUUACCAAGUUCUAUUGGCAAUCUUUCCAAUAGUCUUGAGUCAUUGUGGCUAAGUAGCAACCAAAUUUAUGGGCCUAUACCACCUGAGAUUGGCAACCUUAAGAGCCUCAAUAAUUUGUACACGGGUAAUAAUCUUCUCACUGGAAAUAUACCACCAACACUUGGGAAACUGCAUAGAUUGGUCUAUCUAUCCUUAGCAGAAAACCGGCUUUCCGGGCAGAUUCCAGAUACUAUUGGCAAUCUUGUCCAGCUGAGUAUGCUGAAAUUGGAUUGGAACAACUUUAGUGGAAGGAUACCAGCAAGUAUAGCACAUUGCACUCAACUGAGUAUACUCAACCUUGCUCACAACUCACUAGUUGGGAGUAUACCAAGCAAAAUCUUCAAAAUCUCUACACUUACUGAAGAGUUGGACUUGUCACACAAUUACUUGUCUGGAGAAAUGCCUGACGUCGGCAAUCUGAUUCAUCUGAAGAAAAUGAACAUGUCAAAUAACAGGCUGUCUGGCGACAUACCAUCAACUCUCGGCCAGUGUGUGGAUCUGGAGUAUCUUGAGAUGCAAAGCAACUUCUUUAUAGGAAGCAUUCCACAGUCUUUUGCCAGAUUAUCCAACAUAAAAAAUAUGGAUAUUUCUCAGAACAAUUUGUCCGGAGAAAUACCAGAGCCUCUCAAAUCCUUGAAACACCUCCAAUACCUCAAUUUAUCCUUCAACCAGUUUCGUGGACCAAUUCCGAGAGGUGGUGUUUUUGACAUUGCUGGUGCAGUAUCAAUUGAAAGAAGUUAUCAUCUGUGUACAAGCUUUCCAACAGGAGGUAUGUCCCUUUGCUCUGCACUGGUUGACAAGAAAAGAAAACACAAGUCAUUGAUUCUUGUCCUAGAGAUUGUGUUGCCCAUUGUUGGUGUCACUAUGAUUAUUAUGUCAUGUAUUGUGAUAAUUUAUCGGAAGAAGAGAAUGCAAGCCAAUCUCCAUUUGCAACAUGUCAAUGAGCACACAAAAAAGAUAUCAUAUGAAGACAUUGUAAAGGCAACAGAUAGAUUCUCUUCUGCAAACUUAAUUGGUUCUGGAUCAUUUGGAAGGGUUUAUAAGGGCAGUCUCCAGUUUCAAGAAGAUCAAGUUGCCAUCAAGAUUUUUGACCUUGACAUUUAUGGAGCACAUAGGAGCUUCAUAGCAGAGUGUGAAGCCCUUCGUAAUGUGCGCCAUCGAAAUCUUGUAAAAAUCAUUACUUCAUGCUCUUCAGUGGAUCAUAGUGGGGCAGAUUUCAAGGCCCUAGUGUUCCCAUACAUGCCAAAUGGUAACCUAGAAAUGUGGCUACACCCGGCGGAUCAUGAACAUGGUGAAAGAAAUACUCUGUCAUUAAGCCAAAGGAUUAAUGUAGCCUUGGAUGUAGCGUUUGCUUUGGAUUAUCUUCACAACCAGUGUGCAUCUCCAAUUAUACAUUGCGACUUGAAGCCAAGCAAUAUUCUUUUGGGUCUUGAUAUGGCUGCAUACGUCAUCGACUUUGGCCUAGCAAGAUUUUUGUUCAGCGCGCCAAAUGCACAUCAAGACAGUUCAAUAAGUGCCUGCCACCUAAAAGGAUCCAUAGGAUACAUUCCACCAGAGUAUGGCAUCAGUGGACAGAUAUCAACCAAGGGCGAUGUCUACAGUUUUGGGGUGCUUCUGUUACAACUGAUAACAGGGUGCAGUCCAACUGAUGACAAAUUCAGUGAUGGUAUAAGCCUUCAUGACUUUGUUGGUAGAGCAUUUACAAAGAAUAUUCAUGAGGUUGUUGAUCCCACAAUGCUACAAGACGACAGGAAUGCAGCUGACCUGAUGAAGAAUUGUGUUAUCCCACUGAUUGCAAUCGGCCUCUCUUGCUCCACGACAUCACCAAAAGACCGGCCAGAUAUGGGACAAGUUUCUACUGAUAUCCUUAGAAUCAAGCACGCGGCCUCACACAUGCGUGCCAGAUGA